rnacentral:rRNA from 1 species
UACGGGGGGGGCAAGCGUUGUUCGGAGUUACUGGGCGUAAAGGGCUCGUAGGCGGCCAACUAAGUCAGACGUGAAAUCCCCAGGCUUAACCUGGGAACUGCGUCUGAUACUGGAUGGCUUGAAUUCGGGAGAGGGAUGCAGAAUUCCAGGUGUAGCGGUGAAAUGCGUAGAUAUCUGGAGGAAUACCGGUGGCGAAGGCGGCAUCCUGGACCGAGAUUGACGCUGAUGAGCGAAAGCUAGGGGAGCAAACGGG